UGGGUUUUGUUGGUAGUAUAGAAGUUAAUAGUGGGUCUGGUUUUUACAGAUCCCAAUUUUUCAGGACCGCUUUCCUGAUAUAAUUUGUCUGAGCAUUAAAAUCAAAAAUAAGGGGGCAAAAAAGCUUCUCGUUAUUUUCGUCCUCACACUUCUCCUUUGGUGCCAAAAUCUCCAUCCUGGUCUUGCUCAAUACUUUCUCUGAUGCUCUGUUUAGUAAAUCUAGACCGUAAUUCUUC